UUUAAUUUUGUUAAGCUGCAAUUAUUAUCGAACCAAUCUUUUAAUUUAGGCAUUUCAGAUUACAACUAAGUUUUAUAUUUUGUUAUUCUGUUCUUCCCUAGGUUAGGAGAGGGUGUAUCGCUCACAAACAUGUUUAAAGCCAUUUAGUCUCUCCGCAUUUUUGAUGUGCCUGUUCCAAGUAACGUGCCUAUAAACAUUUAAACAUUUGAUAUAUAUUAUGCAUUAUUUAUUAACCAC
rnacentral:lncRNA from 1 species